CCUCCACCACCAGCAGCAGCCCAUCAUCAGCAAGCAGCAGACGCCGUGGCUUCCACGCCUCCUCCCGCAGCAGCCCCAUGCCCAUCCGAGGGAUCCGGAACGCGCCCCUCCGCCGCAGCGCCGCCUCGGGCUCGCUUGGUGCAGAUCGGGACCCGCCGCCCGCGCCGCCGGGACGGAUCCCGCCUUGCACCAAGUGAAUCGGAGCCGGCGCAGCGAUACAGCCCCGCCGCCCGCCCCUCCCCCACGCGUCGUCUGUACGGACGCCAGCCGCCGCCCUUUGCUCUUAAUUACCGAGCCGUAACCUGCUGUUGCUUGCUUUGGUAGGAUCAGGCUGCCGAUUAAUUGCUGUGAUUUUGUAUGGCCGUGUAAGUUCAUAGGUGGUGUGCGGAUCUCCGGCCGGAUUUAGCAAUUUAGAUCUGGAUCUGGCGCGCUAUUUUGGUAGAUUACUCUGUUGGAUCGGAUGCUGUCCCCCUAAUUAAGCAAGAUCCAUCCUUUUAGUAGAGUACUUAGCGGCUUACUUAGUAAGGCGAUUUCUGUCCAUCAAGUUUGCAUCUUUUGUGAUGUUUUAUGGUACCAGGGGAGGAUUGGAUCCGUGUGUGGGGUGGGAUGCAGCAGGUCAAAUUGGCUGAUCAUGACUCCAAUCUUCUCUUCACGGUUGCCGGAACGCUAUGUGUAGAUUGGAUUUGGAAGUUUAAUUUACUGCGGAAAAAUAAUUGAUCUGGUUGUUAUUUGACUGCCGCUAUUACUACUAGGGAUAUAUAAGUUCUGUAAUCUAGGAAUUAUGGUCUGGCGGGCGUGUUAAAUGCUUUACUGAGCGCAUCUGCUGCAGUCUGUAGAGUGGUCUCUGUGACAGAUGCUAAUUCUGGAAAUUUUGCAAGCAAUAUGUUGCUGCAUAGCUUUGUUUUUGGCAAAAUUUGGUUGGCCGAUUUUAAGAGUAUCUUCUUUGUUAGUGGUUGCGCGCAUGAGAGAUCCAUAAGAGGCUUGUUCUAAGGGGGAAACUUAAGUAUAUGUCAGUAUCAAACAGGUUAUUUGAUUUAGAUUUCUUUUUUUCCCCUUCUAAAAGCUUAUUAGCCUACUCCACAAGACUGAAUUAGGUUGACAUGGCCUAAUAAGGUUGGAUGUACACGAAGAUGAAAUUUCACAUGCAACCAAAGGCCGAAAUAAAAGAUCUUUAACCUUGAGCCCCAAAUAUAAGUGCAGCAAGUGAUUCAAGCCUUUUUUCAUGGGGUUUGUGCCGUUGUGGUGCUUACACGUUUACAACUUUUUAUUGUUGCUUCUUGGUUGUCUAGUCACAAGCUAAUUUUCUCUAGUACUUGUUUGAUUUGCUAUUACCCUUGUUGGUUUUGUUGUAACCUAUUAAUUUGGAAUCUUAAGUAGUGGUUAAAAAUUGCAAUUCCCAUGACUCAACCAAUUAUUCAACCUCCUGGAAAUGUAGACCUAAAGCCAGCUGCUACUCUAAAUAAGCUAAGCCUAGCAAGGCUUGCUUGAAAUUAAUUUGCCACCCCUAAACUAGGGUUAUUAGUUUUAGGUGCUUAAGUGCUUGAAGUAAAAACUAUUUUCAUGGUUUAUAACUUUAUUUAUUGAGCUAGGUGAUUGAGUUUUCGGCCAUGUAUGCUACUACGGUGUCUGAUAACGUAAUGAAUGCACAUGUUGUUUAACAGUACCUUUCCCUACUAUGUUAAAUUCAAUUUGAAGGUUUACUCUAUUUUCUUGGUAGUUUGUCACAAGUAUAAAGUAUUAUCAUGGGUUCAUCUGACAAUACCAAUUUUAAUCUGGAUGACAUGUCAAAACACCUCAUUUUCUACGGGAAAGAUACCAGUUUUAUUCUGGAGAACAUUUCAGAGCAGCUAUGAUGUACAUAUUGGAUCAAUGACUCGAUGAGAUUGCUUGAUUUUUUUUAAGUCGUUUUUUAUGCUUGAUGGUUAUGAAUCCGCAUCAAUUUCUAUAUUUGGGAAAUAUAUGGAGUUGAUUUUUCUGGAUGUAUGUUGUGAUCUGCUUUGCUUGAAAUGGUAUAUCGAGACUAAAUUACUGAUAAAUGAAUAAGCAUCUAGAUUUGGUUGUACUGUAGGGCCAUUGAUUGGUCUAGUUGUGUAGGUAGCUUGCUAGAUGAACCUUUUUCAAUAAACUUGACUGUUAUCCACGACAUCCUAUGUGAUAUAAUGUUUAGUGGAAUCUUGUUUGGAUGAACCGUAGAGCCUAGAGUCAUGGAGAAAUUGUUGUAACUACUUAGCACCUAGAAAAAAAAAACGUUUUCAGGGCAAACUGGGAUCUGGCUCGUUCUGGUUUUCGCUUGGAAACACCACCCGGUUUCCAGCCUUGCAAACCGGUCAGUUUGGUAUGUGAAUUUUUUUUAAAAAAAAUUGUAAGAUUUAAAUUUUGAAAUAGAUAUUAGGAUAGGAGUACCUGUAGUCUCACUGGUUUGGCUGAAAAAGCGGAGGUGACCGGCUAGUCACCACCAGUUUCUUGAACCUGGUAGCAGCAUGCUUAAGAUUUAAGCUAAGACUCACAUGACUGAGGUUCCAGUUGUCGAAUCAGUAUCAUUACAGAAAUAACAAAGUGCUGUUUCUAUUGAAACAGAUCCAUAUGCUGGAAGGUGGAAGCAUAUUGCACCCUUUUCCCCUUCAAAUAUAAUAUUUUUAACUACUAUUUAUAUUGAAAAAUUUCAACCGUAUAAUCUGCUAACUUUCCAAACAUCACCCGUGCAUGAUUUUGAGCAUACUAUAGUUGGUGAUUUGUAAUGCCCAAGUGGGUUUUGAGUUCCUUUUAAAAAAGGAGUCAGUCAUUAGGUGUCUAGGAAUAUAUGCUCGGGGAUCAAGAUUCUUUUUCCAUCAGGAAGAGGGAGAAGAGACAAAGUAGCCGAUUGGCACUAGCUGGUGGUCCAUGGCUGGCAUUUGAACUUGUUCCAGUUAAAGUGGAUUCCCUUCAUUUUUUGAGCUGGAGCUGAUCAGUGAGGUGUAGUAGUUUUUAGUGGUUGGAAUAUUCCGCUAAAGCGACGACAGGUCCAGGAGAACAUGUUCUGAAAAGCUGUCAAGGAAUAUAAAUAUCUGAAUCUGACGCUCCUGGAUUGAUUUGAAUGAAGGAGCAGAGCAUGGUGGAAUUCCAGCACUGGGUAGAUGGUACUGAGGUCCAGUACGGUCGUGGUAAAGAUUUUGCAGCCGCAAAAUCUUCAAAACCACCAUGUUAGAGAUCAUAUAUAAGGAUGAAACAAAAGAAACACAAAAUCUUCAAAACCACCAUGUUAGGAUCUGACAUGGUGGUUUUGAAGAUAUUGCGGCAGCAGAUCACAUGCUUUAAUUUUGUUGAAUUAUGAUGAAAUGGUAUUUGUAUUCUUCAGAAGAUUGAAAUCAACAUCCUGCAUUCCUGCCUACUUGUAGCAUUACACGUCUUGUAUCAAUUUCAUGCGGCACUAGGAGCAUGUUUGGCCCAGCUUGAGUAGAGUAGGGGGUCGGUCGGUGGGAGGCGCGAAUGUUCCUCCACCACCAAGGGCCAGUGGGGAUCUGGAUCUCGCGGCCUGUUGAUCUACUGUGGUUACAGCUGAAUCAUCACCCUGGACAUAGUACAAAACCAGAAACCAGUUGGGGGGAAUGAAUACAUGACGACUUGACAAGGACGCGGUACUUGAUUAAUCUGUGUGCAUCAAACAUGGUGGGCUCUCGUGGUCAGUUUGAUUUAGCUGGUGUCCUUUGGCCAGCACAUGAAAAGGCUGAGCUGCAGCAGCAGCUGCUGCUCGUGCUCAUCAGGCAUGGUCCCCCUGCCUCUCAGCAUGCUGUCACUCUCCAUCCAUUCCGAGCUGUAAAUUCUCUGGGAAAUUAUCUUCAGAGAUGGUGUUGUUUUCUUUCCCCGUUGCAUUGUUGUGCUGGAUUCAUGGAUGGUGUGUAAACUGUUGCAAGCGCCAGCAUAUGCUCACUAUCUUAUGUUCAUCCUGCGCAGAGGCUGUGUUAGCUUGUAAGAAUACAGAUCUAUAUAUUUUCCAGGUAGCUAGGUAGAUUAGGAGCUUUUAGUACUGGGUUACUUGCACUUGUGUUCCUUUUAUCUUGACUUCGCUGGCAAGUUCCAGUAAAAACUCUGAUCAAUGGUCGGUUUGUAUAUAAAAAUGUUGCUAAGUUAACAUCUUA